UUCUAUUAGUAAUAAUUAAUAGUAUAAUCUGCUCAAUGAAAAUUAAAUAGCCGCUAUUAAGUGCUAAGGUAGCAUAAUCAUUUGUCUUUUAAUUAAAGACUAGAAUAAAAGAUCAUUCAUUUCAAUAUAUUUAUUAGUUUAAUAUAUUUAAACUAUCCUAAUUGUAAAAAGACAAUUAUUUAUAAAAAAGACGAUAAGACCCUAUUGAACUUAACUCCAGUUCAACUGGGGCAGUUAAUCAAUUAUUACUUUUUUAAUAUUAUUUCCUUUAUUUACCUAACUAAAUUAAUUACCAAGUUACCAUAGGGAUAACAGCGUAAUUAUUUUAUUUAGCUCUUAUAAAAACUAAGAUUACGACCUCGAUGUUGAAUUAUUUACUAAUUAAUGAAACUAUUAUUAUAGAUGGUCUGUUCGACCAUUAAAAAAUCACA
rnacentral:rRNA from 1 species